UCAACCUGAGAGUUUGAUCCUGGCUCAGAGCGAACGCUGGCGGCAGGCCUAACACAUGCAAGUCGAACGAACUCUUCGGAGUUAGUGGCGGACGGGUGAGUAACACGUGGGAACGUGCCUUUAGGUUCGGAAUAACUCAGGGAAACUUGUGCUAAUACCGAAUGUGCCCUUCGGGGGA
rnacentral:rRNA from 1 species